rnacentral:rRNA from 1 species
GUGUUGUUUUUUAAGGGCACACGGUGGAUGCCUUGGCAUUAUGAGCCGAUGAAGGACGUGUAAGGCCGCGAUAGGCCUCGGGGAGUUGCCAAUAGAGCGUUGAUCCGAGGGUGUCCGAAUGGGGAAACCUGGCUGCAGUUAUGUGUGGUUACCCUUCAGUGAAUUCAUAGCUGUUGUGGGGGUUUACGCGGGGAAGUGAAACAUCUCAGUACCCGUAGGAGAAGAAAACAAUUGUGAUUCCGUUAGUAGUGGCGAACGAACGUGGAUGAGGCUAAACCAUGUGCGUGUGAUACCUGGCAGGGGUUGCGUGUGUGGUGUUGUGGGGUGUGUGCGUGAAAAGGCUGCCAUCUUUUUGCUGGUUUGUGCAUGUGUUAGCGGAAGUGGUGUGGGAACGCCUGCCGUAGAAGGUGAGAGUCCUGUACGUGAAAGCAUGUGUGCGCUGGUUGUGCAUGUCCCCGAGUAGCAGCGGGCUCGUGGAAUCUGCUGUGAAUCUGCCGGGACCACCCGGUAAGCCUAAAUACUUGUGAUGACCGAUAGCGGAUGAGUACCGUGAGGGAAUGGUGAAAAGUACCCCGGGAGGGGAGUGAAAUAGUACCUGAAACCGUGUGCUUACAAUCCGUCAGAGCCUUUUUUGGGGUGAUGGCGUGCCUUUUGAAGAAUGAGCCUGCGAGUCAGCGGCAUGUCGCGAGGUUAACCUUUUGGUGGGUAGCCGUAGCGAAAGCGAAUCCUAACGAGGGUGUUGUUAGUGGCAUGUCCUGGACCCGAAGCGGGGUGAUCUACCCAUGGCCAGUGUGAAGCAGAGGUAAGACUUUGUGGAGGCGCGAACCCACUUAGGUUGAAAACUGAGGGGAUGAGCUGUGGGUAGGGGUGAAAGGCCAAUCAAACUCCGUGAUAGCUGGUUCUCCCCGAAAUGCAUUUAGGUGCAGCGUUGCGUGUUUCUUGCUGGAGGUAGAGCUACUGGUUGGUUGAGGCCCCUAAGGGUGUACUAAGUGAGGAAAGGAUGUGGGAUCGCGAAGACAGCCAGGAGGUUGGACUUAGAAGCAGCCAUCCUUGAAAGAGUGCGUAAUAGCUCACUGGUCGAGUGGUUCUGCGCCGACAAUGUAGUGGGGCUCAAGUACACCGCCGAAGCCGCGGCAGUCAACUUUUUUGUUGGGUUGGGUAGGGGAGCGUCGUGCAUGUGGUGAAGCAUUUGGGUGACCGGGUGUGGAGUGUGUGCGAGUGAGAAUGCAGGCAUGAGUAACGAAUGAAAAGUGGAAAACUUUUCGCCGGAUGACUAAGGGUUCCUGGGUUAAGCUAAUCUUCCCAGGGUGAGUCGGGACCUAAGGCGAGGCCGACAGGCGUAGUCGAUGGAUAACCAGUUGAUAUUCUGGUACCCGUGGUGAUGCGACAAGUGGUGAAUCAGUGGUACUAACCGCCCAUUAAUUGCAUGUGUUCAUACUUUGUGUGGGUGUGUGUGGUUGUGCGUGGGACCUUCGUUGGUAGUAGCCAAGUGAUGGGGUGACGCAGUGAGGUAGCCGAGCCACUUAUUGGAUUGUGGUGUAAGCGUGUGGCCCGUGGCAUAGGUAAAUCCGUGCUGCAUUGUAAGGGUGAGGCGUGAUGCGUACCCUUUUUUGGGGAUGUUGGUGAUCCUGUACUGUCGAGAAAAGCCUCUAGCGAGUGUCAUUAUGGCCCGUACCCUAAACCGACACAGGUGGUCAGGUAGAGAAUACUAAGGCGAUCGGGUGAACUGUGGUUAAGGAACUCGGCAAAAUGCCCCCGUAACUUCGGGAGAAGGGGGACCAUUGUUGGUGACAGACUGAUGGAGCUGAUGGUGGUCGCAGAGAAUAGAGGGAAGCGACUGUUUAUUAAAAACACAGGUCCGUGCGAAAACGUGGAAGUUGAUGUAUACGGACUGACGCCUGCCCGGUGCUGGAAGGUUAAGAGGACCUGUUAGAUCUCUUUUGGGGGUCGAAGCGGAGAAUUUAAGCCCCAGUAAACGGCGGUGGUAACUAUAACCAUCCUAAGGUAGCGAAAUUCCUUGUCGGGUAAGUUCCGACCUGCACGAAUGGCGUAACGACUUCCCUGCUGUCUCAACCACAGGCCCGGUGAAAUUGCAGUACGAGUAAAGAUGCUCGUUACGCGCGGCAGGACGAAAAGACCCCGGGACCUUCACUAUAGCUUGGUAUUGGUGUUUGGUUCGGUUUGUGUAGGAUAGGUGGGAGACUGUGAUACUGCGCCGCUAGGUGUGGUGGAGUCGCAAGUUGAAAUACCACUCUGAUCGGAUUGAGCACCUUAACCUUGGCCCAUGAUCUGGGUUGGGGACAGUGCCUGGUGGGUAGUUUAACUGGGGCGGUUGCCUCCUAAAAUGUAACGGAGGCGCCCAAAGGUUCCCUCAGCCUGGUUGGCAAUCAGGUGGUGAGUGUAAGUGCACAAGGGAGCUUGACUGUGAGACUGACAGGUCGAGCAGGGACGAAAGUCGGGACUAGUGAUCCGGCACCUACUUGUGGAAGUGGUGUCGCUCAACGGAUAAAAGGUACCCCGGGGAUAACAGGCUGAUCUUCCCCAAGAGUCCAUAUCGACGGAUGGUUUGGCACCUCGAUGUCGGCUCGUCGCAUCCUGGGGCUGGAGUAGGUCCCAAGGGUUGGGCUGUUCGCCCAUUAAAGCGGCACGCGAGCUGGGUUUAGAACGUCGUGAGACAGUUCGGUCUCUAUCCGCCGUGCGCGUUGAAACUUGAAGAAGGCUGUCCCUAGUACGAGAGGACCGGGACGGACGUACCUCUAGUGUGCCAGUUGUCACGCCAGUGGCAGGGCUGGUUGGCUACGUACGGAAGGGAUAACCGCUGAAAGCAUCUAAGCGGGAAGCCUGUUUUAAGAUGAGGUUUCUUUUGAGGUUCCCUCGAGACGAGGGGGUUGAUAGGCCAGAUCUGGAAGAGUGGUAACACUUGGAGGUGACUGGUACUAAUUUACCGAUAAACAACCAUAUGUUGUGUGUGGAUGUGUUGUG